rnacentral:rRNA from 1 species
GGUGUUCAACUCAAUUGUGCAGCCGCACCCGCAGUAUGGGCAGAUAGUCCGCUGCUUUUCGAGCUCCCAUUCCCUUCCUCUGCCGACACGGCUCUUUUCUGUAAGAGCUCCGACGGGACACACGCUGAUACACCGACCGCAUGAUACACAGGUAGUCUCCUGCAGGGGUUUUUCAAAGGAAGUGGAGAUCCUGGUACCGAAGCCCCGG